rnacentral:rRNA from 1 species
CCUACGGGGGGCAGCAGUGGGGAAUAUUGCACAAUGGGGGAAACCCUGAUGCAGCGACGCCGCGUGAGUGAGGAAGUAUUUCGGUAUGUAAAGCUCUAUCAGCAGGGAAGAAAAUGACGGUACCUGACUAAGAAGCCCCGGCUAACUACGUGCCAGCAGCCGCGGGAAAACGUAGGGGGCAAGCGUUAUCCGGAUUUACUGGGUGGAAAGGGAGCGUAGACGGGUGAUCAAGUCAGAAGUGAAAAACCAGGGCUUAACCGUCGGACUGCUUUUGAAACUGAGUAGCUUGAGUGCAGGAGAGGUAAGCGGAAUUCCGAGGGUAGCGGUGAAAUGCGUAGAUAUUAGGAGGAACACCAGUGGCGAAGGCGGCUUACUGGACUGUAACUGACGUUGAGGCUCGAAAGCGUGGGGAGCGAACAGGAUUAGAUACCCCUGUAGUC